GACGAACGCUGGCGGCGUGCCUAAUACAUGCAAGUCGAGCGGACGAAUCGAAAGCUUGCUUUUGAUUCGUUAGCGGCGGACGGGUGAGUAACACGUGGGCAACCUGCCCUGUAGACGGGGAUAACACCGAGAAAUCGGUGCUAAUACCGGAUAACACGAAAUGUCGCAUGACGUUUCGUUGAAAGACGGCGCAAGCUGUCGCUACAGGAUGGGCCCGCGGCGCAUUAGCUAGUUGGUGAGGUAACGGCUCACCAAGGCGACGAUGCGUAGCCGACCUGAGAGGGUGAGCGGCCACACUGGGACUGAGACACGGCCCAGACUCCUACGGGAGGCAGCAGUAGGGAAUCUUCCGCAAUGGACGAAAGUCUGACGGAGCAACGCCGCGUGAGCGAAGAAGGCCUUCGGGUCGUAAAGCUCUGUUGUUAGGGAAGAACAAGUAACGCAGUAACUGGCGUUACCGUGACGGUACCUAACGAGAAAGCCACGGCUAACUACGUG
rnacentral:rRNA from 1 species